rnacentral:rRNA from 1 species
GCGGUUAUACAAUUUACUUUAGUUAUUUUUUUUAAAAAGCAUUUAAUUUUAUUUUUUUGGGGAAUAUUUUAUAAUUUAUUAGGUGAAAUUUUUAUUUAUUUUUAAUUUCUGGGUUAAAUAUUUAAAUGUGAAAUUUUUUAAUUAAACUAGGAUUAGAUACCCUAUUAUUUUAAAAUGUAAAAUUAUUUUUUUGGUAUUAAUAGUUAUUAUCUUUAAAUUAAAAGAAUUUGGCGGUAAUUUAAUCUUUUUAGAGGAAUCUGUUCUGUAAUUGAUAAUCCACGUUGGGUUUAACUUUAUUUUUGUUUGUAUAUCUCUGUUAUUAGAAUGUUUUAUAAGAAUUAUUUUCUUAAAUUAUUAUUUAAAUAAGUUCAGGUCAAGGUGCAGCUAUUUUAAAGGUUGAAAUGGAUUACAUUUAAUGUAUUUUAUUGGAUCAUAUAAUUAAAUUAUGAAUGUGAAAAAGGAUUUAAUAGUAAAUUUUAGUAUCUACUUUUUUUGACUUAAGCUCUAAAUUAUGUACAUAUCGCCCGUCACUCUCAUAAAAGUGAGAUAAGUCGUAACAAAGUAAUCCUAUUGGAAAAUGGGGUUAGAUGUU